AGAUGUGAAGGUCAUCUGGUUUUGACAUCUCUCACAUCAUUGGCCACUAAGGCUUGAUGCUGCUGAUUUGGCUGGCUAGGAGGGUAUUCCAUUUGUCCUUCACUGCUCCAUAAGUGUCUGCCUGAAGCUGCACAUUCAAUGGAAUGGACAGCCAUGUCAGAUAGGAGUGUAUCAUUCCUCCGUCAAAGGUACUCAGGGGCUUUGCAAUUUGAAGACAGAUGUUGUGUUUUC
rnacentral:snRNA from 1 species